UACGAAGGGGGCUAGCGUUGCUCGGAAUGACUGGGCGUAAAGGGCGCGUAGGCGGUUUGGUUCGUUAGGCGUGAAAUUCCUGGGCUCAACCUGGGGACUGCGUUUAAUACAGCCAGACUUGAGUGUGGAAGAGGGUCGUGGAAUUCCUAGUGUAGAGGUGAAAUUCGUAGAUAUUGGGAAGAACACCGGUGGCGAAGGCGGCGACCUGGUCCAUUACUGACGCUGAGGCGCGAAAGCUAGGGGAGCAAACAGG
rnacentral:rRNA from 1 species